UUGAACGCUGGCGGCAGGCCUAACACAUGCAAGUCGAGCGCGAAAGUUCUUCGGAAUGAGUAAAGCGGCGGACGGGUGAGUAACGCGUGGGAAUCUGCCUAGUAGUGGGGGACAACAGCCGGAAACGGCUGCUAAUACCGCAUACGCCCUACGGGGGAAAGGGGGGGAUCUUCGGACCUCUCGCUCUUAGAUGAGCCCGCGUCGGAUUAGCUAGUUGGUAGGGUAAAGGCCUACCAAGGCUACGAUCCGUAACUGGUCUGAGAGGAUGAUCAGUCACACUGGAACUGAGACACGGUCCAGACUCCUACGGGAGGCAGCAGUGGGGAAUAUUGGACAAUGGGGGCAACCCUGAUCCAGCCAUGCCGCGUGUGUGAAGAAGGCCUUAGGGUUGUAAAGCACUUUCAGUGGGGAGAAAGGUUUGUCACCUAAUACGUGAUGAAAUUGAUGUUACCCACAGAGGAAGCACCGGCUAACUCCGUGCCAGCCGCCGCGGUAA
rnacentral:rRNA from 1 species